rnacentral:ncRNA from 1 species
AAGAAAAAUUAGAAUUAAGAUAAUACCAAUUUUGGUGGCAUGAUGUCAACCCUUGAUAUCUCCACUCCAUGAUUGCUAACGGGUUUUUUCGGAUAGGGAUUCUCUGCCUCUGUCACUAUCCAAAUUUUUUGUAUAGGGCCUCCUUUGAAUAUAUAUAAACUUAAUAUCAAACCUUAAUAUAUUUAAUAUAAUUAAUAUAUAACCUUAUAAGUACAAUGGACUCAAAACUGGUGCAAGCAAAGGGAAUCCGACUUUUUAAUUAAAACAAAGUAUUGUGAUGGUCCCUACACAUGUUGGCGCAAUGUGAUUUAUGCCCAGUGCUCUACAUGUAAAAGUGAAGAAAUUCAACCAAGAACGGGUAAACUGUGGGAGUAACUAUGACUUUCUUAAGGUAUCCAAAUGCAUCAUCAUCUAAUUAGUGGCACGCAUGAAUGGAUUAACGAGAUUCCCUCUAUCCCUAUAUAAUAUCUAGAGAAACCACAACCAAGGGAAUGGGAUUUUCAUAAUCAAUGGCGAAAGAAGAACCUAUUGAGCUUGACUCUAGUCUGACUUUGUGAAAUGACUUGAGAGGUGUAGAAUAAGUGGGAGCCUUUUUCGGCGCAAGUGAAAUACUACUAAUUUUAAUGUUAUUUUACUUAUUAUGUGGGGUGGAGAUGGGUCAUUGCCCCUUUUUUUGGCCAUAAGACACACUUUAGCAGGUUAAUCUGGGUGGAAGACAUUGUCAGGUGGGGAGUUUUCUUAUUCCUUUAACGUUAUUUUACUUAUUCCUUGAACACUUGUGGAAUAAAUGAAGAUCUUACAAAUGGAUGAGAAAUUUUGAAGUGGGUGAUUAGCUUCUAUCCAAAUAUUAAAAAAUGAUUAGGCUUUAUGGAGUGGAAUUCAAACCUUUCAUAUUACCUCUCUUUCUAACCCUAAGAAUAUUUAUCGUAGAAUAUGCUAGAAAAAUUUUCAAUGUAGAUGAAUUACACUAUCAUCCCAAGCAUCAAAAUAUUUAUUUCUCAUUUCCAUUCAAAUUUUGA